GCUUUCCUGGGCUCAGUUGGUAGAGCUUUGCUCCAACAACGCAAAGGUUGUGGGUUCAAAUACAAGAGACUGCA